UGUCAAAGGAGGAAUCCGGUAUAAGAUGGGCCCGCGUCAAUUAGCUAUUGGUGAGGUACGGCUCACCAAGGGCGACGAUUGGUAGCCGAACUGAGAGGUUGAUCGGCCACAUUGGGACUGAGACACGGCCCAGACUCCUACGGGAGCACAUGGGAAUAUUGCACAAUGGGGGAAACCCUGAUGCAGCAACGCCGCGUGAAGGAUGAAGGUCUUCGGAUCGUAAACUUCUUUGANUUGGGCGAAGAAGAAGUGACGGUACCCAAAAAACAAGCCCAACGGCUAACUACGUUGCCNNAGCAGCCGCGGUAAUACGUAGGUGGCAAGCGUUGUCCGGAAUUACUGGGUGUAAAGGGCGUGUAGGCGGGGGUGCAAGUCAGAUGUGAAAGCCCGUGGCUCAACUGCGGGACUGCAUCUGAAACUGUAUCUCUUGAGUACUGGAGAGGGAAGUGGAAUUCCUAGUGUAGCGGUGAAAUGCGUAGAGAUUAGGAGGAACACCAGUGGCGAAGGCGGCUUCCUGGACAGUUACUGACGCUGAGGCGCGAAAGCGUGGGGAGCGAACAGGAUUAGAUACCCUGGUAGUCCACGCCGUAAACGAUGGAUACUAGGUGUAGGAGGUAUCGACCCCUUCUGUGCCGGAGUAAACGCAAUAAGUAUCCCACCUGGGGAGUACGACCGCAAGGUUGAAACUCAAAGGAAUUGACGGGGGCCCGCACAAGCAGUGGAGUAUGUGGUUUAAUUCGAAGCAACGCGAAGAACCUUACCAGGGCUUGACAUCCCUUGAACGCUCUAGAGAUAGAGUUUCCCUUCGGGGCAAGGUGACAGGUGGUGCAUGGUUGUCGUCAGCUCGUGUCGUGAGAUGUUGGGUUAAGUCCCGUAACGAGCGCAACCCUUGUCGUUAGUUGCCAGCAAGUAAUGUUGGGCACUCUAAUGAGACUGCCGGUGAUAAAUCGGAGGAAGGUGGGGAUGACGUCAAAUCAUCAUGCCCCUUAUGUCCUGGGCUACACACGUACUACAAUGGCUGGUACAGAGGGGAGCUAAGCCGCAAGGUGUAGCAAAUCCCAAAAACCAGUCCCAGUUCGGAUUGCAGGCUGAAACCCGCCUGUAUGAAGUUGGAAUUGCUAGUAAUGGCAGGUCAGCAUACUGCCGUGAAUACGUUCCCGGGCCUUGUACACACCGCCCGUCACACCAUGAGAGUUU
rnacentral:rRNA from 1 species